rnacentral:rRNA from 1 species
AUUGAACGCUGGCGGCAGGCUUAACACAUGCAAGUCGAGCGAGCGGCGGACGGGUGAGUAAUGUCGGGGAAACUGCCUGAAGGAGGGGGAUAACUACGGGAAACGGUAGCUAAUACCGCAUACCAUCAGAUGUGCCCAGAUGGGAUUAGCUAGGAGGUGGGGUAAUGGCUCACCGAGGUGACUAUCCCUAGCGGGUCUGAGAGAAUGACCAGCCACCCUGGAGCGGAGACACGGUCAAGAGUCCUACGGGAGGCAGCAGUGGGGAAUAUUGCACAAUGGGCGCGAGCCUGAUGCAACCAUGCCGCGUGUGUGACGAAGGCCUUCGGGUUGUAAAGCACUUUCAGCGAUGAGGCGUUACUCGCAGAAGAAGCACCGGCUAACUCCGUGCCAGCCGCCGCGGUAAUAC